rnacentral:rRNA from 1 species
GAUGAACGCUGGCGGCGUGCCUAAUACAUGCAAGUCGAGCGAACAGACGAGGAGCUUGCUCCUCUGACGUUAGCGGCGGACGGGUGAGUAACACGUGGAUAACCUACCUAUAAGACUUGGAUAACUUCGGGAAACCGGAGCUAAUACCGGAUAAUAUAUUGAACCGCAUGGUUCAAUAGUGAAAGACGGUUUUGCUGUCACUUAUAGAUGGAUCCGCGCCGCAUUAGCUAGUUGGUAAGGUAACGGCUUACCAAGGCAACGAUGCGUAGCCGACCUGAGAGGGUGAUCGGCCACCAUGGAACUGAGACACGGUCCAGACUCCUACGGGAGGCAGCAGUAGGGAAUCUUCCGCAAUGGGCGAAAGCAUGACGGAGCAACGCCGCGUGAGUGAUGAAGGUCUUCGGAUCGUAAAGCUCUGUUAUUAGGGAAGAACAAAUGUGUAAGUAACUAUGCACGUCUUGACGGUACCUAAUCAGAAAGCCACGGCUAACUACGUG